GAUCAUGGCUCAGGAUGAACGCUGGCGGCGUGCUUAACACAUGCAAGUCGAACGAAGCAACUAUCUUGCUUGCAAGAGAGUUGACUUAGUGGCGGACGGGUGAGUAACGCGUGGGUAACCUGCCUCAUACAGGGGGAUAACAGUUGGAAACGACUGCUAAGACCGCAUAACCCGCUAGUGUCGCAUGACACGGACGGAAAAUAUUUAUAGGUAUGAGAUGGGCCCGCGUCUGAUUAGCUAGUUGGUAAGGUAACGGCUUACCAAGGCGACGAUCAGUAGCCGACUUGAGAGAGUGAUCGGCCACAUUGGGACUGAGACGCGGCCCAAACUCCUACGGGAGGCAGCAGUGGGGAAUAUUGGACAAUGGGGGAAACCCUGAUCCAGCGAACCGCCGCGUGAGUGAAGAAGUAUUUCGGUAUGUAAAGCUCUAUCAGCAGGGAAGAUAAUGACAGUACCUGACUAAGAAGCCCCGGCUAACUACGUGCCAGCAGCCGC
rnacentral:rRNA from 1 species